GGGUGCGAUCAUACUAGCACUAAUGCACCGGAUCUCAUCAGAACUCCGAAGUUAAGAAUGCUUGGACGAGAGUAGUACUAUGAUGGGUGACCCCCUGGGAAGUCCUUAUGUUACACCCA